UUGUUGACUAGCUUUGCAUGGCAGGCUCCCUGCACUUUUGUGCGGCCAACUGUCAUGGGGCUAUCUCUUCAUUGUCCCUUCGGCUAGUUUUUUUGCUGGUUAGGGAUGCUUGCCAUCGGUUGCCUGUGUUGUUCUACCCCUGCGGGUAGUAGGAUUGUCCCGUUGUUGCUUAUUUAGCCUGCUUUGUUGAAGCAAUUCAGUUGACAGAGCGGCCGAAGGGUCAGCAAAUUCCUUGUGCUGCCAUGUGCUUGUGCCUUGGUAUACUGCAUUUGGAUGUAUGCUGGGUCUCACGGAUGUUGUGCCUAUAGUGAGCUCUACGGGCUUCGUGCUUGUAGAACUUGCGAGGUUGUCCCUACAUUGUUCAUUGCUCUGUUGCUUCACCGACAUGUCGUGUAUUGUGCCAUGUUGGAGUGUUGCUGUUAGGGUGUUGUUCUUUGUGUGUGUGGCAUGCUCUGUGGCGUCGCAUGAGUUGCGAUUGCUGGUUUGCGUUGUCGUAUGG
rnacentral:misc_RNA from 1 species